GGUUGGGGACACCUUGCCAAAGCUCCGUGUCACCAAGUCCCGCGGUCUGGCCUUGAGGACACCUGCACCACAGAAACACCUCCAAAACGCUCCGGGUCAGAAAGGAAGGAGUUGACUGCGUGGGGGCUCCACACAGCACCGCUCUAUCCCGUCUAUCCCGUCGCAUGCUCCGAGGAGCACUGAGACGUGGCCACGUCACCACCAGUACUAUGUCAUCACGUGUCACAAAGGCCCUGUGACAACCUGCCCUGUUCCAUGCCAUCAGCAAUGCCCACCGUGUCACGAAGGGCCCUGUGACACACUGCCACCUGCCCUGGGGCCUCCCCCAGCCCAGCCACCUGCCCCAGGGGGCUGUUGGGAGCAGCACUUGGAGCAAUUGGUGGCAGCGCUCGGCAUCUGUCAGAACACAGGAGCACUUUCUCCUUGCAGGAAUGAUUUUUGCAUGGAAGUGAUGACCUGCAGCAGAAAACCACCAUCAGUUGCUGAGUUUCACAUGAAGAUUAGAUUGCUCAGAAAUCCUGUCAAGCUUCCUCGUGUUAUUUGGACUUUUUUUCUGCAUUCUGCAAAAUAAAAGCUGUCCAGUCUGACGUUCAAAGCUCCA